rnacentral:rRNA from 1 species
UACGUAGGGUGCGAGCGUUAAUCGGAAUUACUGGGCGUAAAGCGUGCGCAGGCGGCGACAUAAGACAGAUGUGAAAUCCCCGGGCUCAACCUGGGAACUGCGUUUGUGACUGUGUUGCUAGAGUGUAGCAGAGGGGGGUGGAAUUCCACGUGUAGCAGUGAAAUGCGUAGAGAUGUGGAGGAACACCGAUGGCGAAGGCAGCCCCCUGGGUUAACACUGACGCUCAUGCACGAAAGCGUGGGGAGCAAACAGGAUUAGAUACCCUGGUAGUCCACGCCCUAAACGAUGCCAACUAGGUGUUGGGGAAGGAGACUUCCUUAGUACCGUAGCUAACGCGUGAAGUUGGCCGCCUGGGGAGUACGGUCGCAAGAUUAAA